rnacentral:rRNA from 1 species
CCAUGGCCAGGAUGAAGGUGCCGUAACAGGUACUGGAGGUCCGAACCGACUAGUGUUGCAAAACUAGCGGAUGAGCUGUGGAUAGGGGUGAAAGGCUAAAAAACUUGGAAAUAGCUGGUUCUCUCCGAAAACUAUUUAGGUAGUGCCUCAAGUAUUACCUGCGGGGUAGAGCACUGUUUUGGCUAGGGGGUCAUGGCGACUUACCAAACCAAGGCAAACUCCGAAUACUGCAGAGUACAGCUUGGAGACAGAGCACCGGGUGCUAACGUCCGGACUCAAGAGGGAAACAACCCAGACCGCCAGCUAAGGUCCCUAAAAUUGGCUAAGUGGGAAACGAAGUGGGAAGGCUAAAACAGUCAGGAUGUUGGCUUAGAAGCAGCCAUCAUUUAAAGAAAGCGUAUAGCUCACUGAUCGAGUCGUCCUGCGCGGAAGAUGUAACGGGGCUAAGCCAGUUACCGAAGCUGCGGAUGUGCAAUUUAUUGCACGUGGUAGGAGAGCGUUGUGUAAGCCUGUGAAGGUGUCUGGUAACGGAUGCUGGAGGUAUCACAAGUGCGAAUGCUGACAUGAGUAGCGUUAAAGCGGGUGAAAAGCCCGCUCGCCGUAAGCGCAAGGUUUCCUACGCAACGUUCAUCGGCGUAGGGUGAGUCGGCCCCUAAGGCGAGGCAGAGAUGCGUAGCUGAUGGGAAACAGGUCAAUAUUCCUGUACCGAUCAAUAGUGCGAUGUGGGGACGGAGAAGGUUAGCUCAGCCAACUGUUGGAUAUGUUGGUUCAAGCCUGUAGUCGUGCCUGGUAGGCAAAUCCGCCGGGCUAAGAUGAGGGGUGAUAACGAGUCUGCUUGCAGACGAAGUGAGUGAUACCCUGCUUCCAGGAAAAGCCACUAAGCUUCAGCUAUUGACGACCGUACCGCAAACCGACACUGGUGCGCGAGAUGAGUAUUCUAAGGCGCUUGAGAGAACUCAGGAGAAGGAACUCGGCAAAUUGAUACCGUAACUUCGGGAGAAGGUAUGCCGCAAGUAGGUGAACUUGUACAAAGGGAGCCCAAAGCGGUUGCAAAAAAUCGGUGGCUGCGACUGUUUUAAAAACACAGCACUCUGCAAACACGAAAGUGGACGUAUAGGUGUGACGCUGCCCGGUGCUGGAAGAUUAAAUGAUGGGUGCAAGCUCUUGAUUGAAGUCCCAGUAAACGGCGGCGUAAACUAUAACGGUCCUAAGGUAGCGAAAUUCCUUGUCGGGUAAGUUCCGACCUGCACGAAUGGCGUAACGAUGGCCACGCUGUCUCCUCCUGAGACUCAGCGAAGUUGAAAUGUUUGUGAUGAUGCAAUCUCCCGCGGAAAGACGGAAAGACCCCAUGAACCUUUACUGUAGCUUUGUAUUGGACUUUGAACGGAUCUGUGUAGGAUAGGUGGGAGGCUUUGAAGUGGUGACGCUAGUUGCCAUGGAGCCAACGUUGAAAUACCACCCUGGUGCGUUUGAGGUUCUAACCUAGGUCCCUUACCGGGAUCGGGGACAGUGCAUGGUAGGCAGUUUGACUGGGGCGGUCUCUCCCAAAGCGUAACGGAGGAGUUCGAAGGUACGCUAGUUACGGUCGGACAUCGUGACGAUAGUGCAAUGGCAUAAGCGUGCUUAACUGCGAGACUGACAAGUCGAGCAGAUGCGAAAGCAGGACAUAGUGAUCCGGUGGUUCUGUAUGGAAGGGCCAUCGCUCAACGGAUAAAAGGUACUCUGGGGAUAACAGGCUGAUACCGCCCAAGAGUUCAUAUCGACGGCGGUGUUUGGCACCUCGAUGUCGGCUCAUCUCAUCCUGGGGCUGUAGUCGGUCCCAAGGGUAUGGCUGUUCGCCAUUUAAAGAGGUACGUGAGCUGGGUUUAAAACGUCGUGAGACAGUUUGGUCCCUAUCUUCCGUGGGCGCUGCAGAUUUGAGGAAGCCUGCUCCUAGUACGAGAGGACCGGAGUGGACACACCUCUGGUGUAUCGGUUGUCACGCCAGUGGCAUUGCCGAGUAGCUAAGUGUGGAAGAGAUAACCGCUGAAAGCAUCUAAGCGGGAAACUCGUUUCAAAGAUGAGAUCUGCCGGGGCCUCGAGCCCCCUGAAGGGUCGUUGUAGACCACGACGUUGAUAGGCUGGGUGUGGAAGUGCAGCAUGCAUUAAGCUAACCAGUACUAAUUGCCCGUGCGGGCUUGACCUA